rnacentral:lncRNA from 1 species
GCCGAUGUGGAUUUUGAUUCGAUUCACUUCCAACUAGCUCUCCAGUAUCAUUAUUUUGAUAGUACUUAGUUUCAUCAUACUCAUAACAUCCUUCAAAGGCAGGAUCAUCAUUCUCUUCCCACGUAUCAGUAAGAGGCAUCAUAUAGGGCUCCUGAUCCAUGGGAUACUACACUCCCUGUCAUCAAGUGACCAACGUCAGUAGCAUAAGAAGAAGAGAUGAUCAUAAUCAUAGAAUAUCUCAAAGAACAACUCUCACUUCAAGAUAAGUUGAAAAUGCAUCAACCCGUGAAAUCAAGGUUCUACCCCCCUUAAGAAAGGUCGACUAGGAGGCACAAUGAAGGUAGCUUGCACUUUUUCUUGAUAAGUUAUCAUGCAUUGAGAUCCUUUAGACAUCCCACUGUAACACCCUAAAAUUUGUUCUUUUUGAAAUAGAUGAAAAAUAAUUUAAUUUUGUAUUUUUGUGCUCAUGCAACAUAGGAAAAAAAUAAUAUUUUUCAUUUAAUUAAAAAAAAUUUAUCAUAGGAUGUAGCAACAUUUUUGUGCACUCAUGCUCCCGCAUUUCAUUUAUUGUGCUGAGUGAUUCUAUUAAAGUUCAAAGUAAGUCAAACUGAUUUUAAAAUGAUUUUCAAACUUAUUUUUGAAAUGGCUUUGAAAUAAAAAGAAAAGAAAAGAAAAAUGGAAAACCUCCCCCUUCGGCCCGAAACGCAACCGGCCCAGCAGCAGCCGAAGCCCCGCACGCGCGCCUCCCCUCCUUCUCACUCUGUUUGGCAACCGGGCCCCGCCCUCUCUGUCGCUGACCUCUGGGACCCACUUGUCAGCGUCUCGUCCUGUCUUCCUCGCAGAGCCCGAGCCAGACGCACGCACGGGCCGCAAUGAGUCCCA